rnacentral:rRNA from 1 species
AGAGUUUGAUCCUGGCUCAGAACGAACGCUGGCGGCGUGCUUAACACAUGCAAGUCGAACGUGAAAGUGGCUUCGGCCAUGAGUAAAGUGGCAGACGGGUGAGUAACACGUGGGUAACCUGCCCCUUGGCGGGGGAUAACCAUUCGAAAGGAUGGCUAAUACCGCAUAAGACCACGUCCCUGAUGGGAUGGGGUAAAAGACGAAAGUCACCGAGGGAGGGGCCCGCGGCCGAUUAGCUAGUUGGUGAGGUAAUGGCUCACCAAGGCGACGAUCGGUAGCUGGUCUGAGAGGAUGAUCAGCCACACUGGUACUUAGACACGGACCAGACUCCUACGGGAGGCAGCAGUGGGGAAUAUUGCGCAAUGGACGAAAGUCUGACGCAGCAACGCCGCGUGGGUGAAGAAGGCCUUCGGGUCGUAAAGCCCUGUCAGGUGGGAAGAAACCUGCGUAAGCAGCUGACGGUACCACCAAAGGAAGCACCGGCUAACUACGUGCCAGCAGCCGCGGUAAUACGUAGGGUGCGAGCGUUAAUCGGAAUUACUGGGCGUAAAGCGUGCGCAGGUGGUUUUGUAAGACAGAUGUGAAAUCCCCGGGCUUAACCUGGGAACUGCGUUUGUGACUGCAAGACUGGAGUGCGGCAGAGGGGGGUGGAAUUCCACGUGUAGCAGUGAAAUGCGUAGAGAUGUGGAGGAACACCGAUGGCGAAGGCAGCCCCCUGGGUCGACACUGACGCUCAUGCACGAAAGCGUGGGUAGCAAACAGGAUUAGAUACCCUGGUAGUCC